rnacentral:rRNA from 1 species
AACCUCCGCAAUGUGAGAAAUCGCGACGGGGGGAUCCCAAGUGCCAUUCCUAACGGGAUGGCUUUUCAUUAGUGUAAAGAGCUUUUGGAAUAAGAGCUGGGCAAGACCGGUGCCAGCCGCCGCGGUAACACCGGCAGCUCUAGUGGUAGCAAUUUUUAUUGGGCCUAAAGCGUCCGUAGCCGGUUUAAUAAGUCUCUGGUGAAAUCCUGUAGCUUAACUGUGGGAAUUGCUGGAGAUACUAUUAGACUUGAGACCGGGAGAGGUUAGAGGUACUCCCAGGGUAGAGGUGAAAUUCUGUAAUCCUGGGAGGACCGCCUGUUGCGAAGGCGUCUAACUGGAACGGUUCUGACGGUGAGGGACGAAAGUUAGGGGCGCGAACCGGAUUAGAUACCCGGGUAGUCCUAACUGUAAACGAUGCGGACUUGGUGUUGGGGUGGCUUUGAGCUGCUCCAGUGCCGAAGGGAAGCUGUUAAGUCCGCCGCCUGGGAAGUACGGUCGCAAGACUGAAACUUAAAGGAAUU